ACUAAAUAGAUACCCUGGUAGUCCACGCCCUAAACGAUGUCUACUAGUUGUUGGUGGAGUAAAAUCCAUGAGUAAACGCAGCUAAACGCGUGAAGUAGACCGCCUGGGGAGUACGGUCGCAAGAUUAAAACUCAAAGGAAUUGACGGGGGCCCGGCACAAGCGGUGGAUUAUGUGGAUUAAAAUUCGAUGCAACGCGAAAAACCUUAACCCUGGCCUUGACAUGCCACUAACGAAGCAGAGAUGCAUUAGGUGCCGUAACGGGAAAGUGGACACAGGUGCUGCAUGGCUGUCGUCAGCUCGUGUCGUGAGAUGUUGGGUUAAGUCCCGCAACGAGCGCAACCCUUGCCAUU
rnacentral:rRNA from 1 species